UUAACCAUUAUAUAACAUUGCACUAUACUGUGCAUUAUAGAGAGUCCUGAGGAGAGUUUGCCCAAGACAGACAUUGAAGCGGCAUCUGCCACACAGGAUGGGCAGGAGUACAGAAGAACACAUGAUUCUGUACUGGAGAUAUGCUGAACAGCAAGCCCCAUCGACAUAGGCGACAUUUGACAGGAGCUGUCCCUUUGACAUAAAUGGGAAAUGUUACUGGACAUGAGCUAUGACCUUUGAAGAGGUCAACCCACAGCAAUGGGGGAAGAAGAAGCUGUUAAGAAAAAUGAUUGCAGAAACAUGUCAGCGAAUGAGACAGAGGCUUUAUAUUCAUGCCUCCUGCUGUCUGUAUUUAACAUGACUCUUCUUUGAUGCUAAAUGUUCCGUUACUAGAAUACGUAGAAGGAUUGAAAGAGGAAAGGUAAAUUCCGCGCGAGGGGUACCCGCAGACAUACUUUCACCCUUUGGGGGUACAGUCGUGAAAAAGGUUGAGAACCAGGAGAGGGUUCUUUCUGGCAACUCAUAAUGUCCAGAAUGUGGAGUGUUACAGAGAAGAUUGACCUUCUGGAAGUUUCUCCUGCACAUAGGAUCUUUGGAGCUCAGCCAAAAUGACCAUUGGGUUCUUGGUCACUUAUCUUCUCAAGGCCCUUCUCCCCAAAUUUCUUAGUUUGGUGGGACAGCCAGCUCUAGGAAAAGUCCAUGUUGUUACAAACAUACAACUUGUUUUGUACCCUUCUCCAGAUAUGUGCCUCCAAAAAGUCCUGUCUCUGAGCUGUACAGGCAGUUAUUUUUCUCUGAUAUGGAUUGUCAGCCAUAACGUGUCUUUCUAAGGCUAGGUUCCCACUUGUUUCUUUUUCUGGCUUUCUUUUUUUUAGGUAAAAAAAUCAAAAAAACGCCAGAAAAACUGCCACUAAUUGUCCCUGUGUUUUGGCAUUAUUACCUUUCUGUGGAUAUUGCAUUUUUGGCCCCUUUGGCAGUUUCCC